AAUAAGUGUAGUUUUGUAGAAUGUUUGAUCAUCCAUUUUAUUUGGAAAUUUUUUACAAUUAAUACUUUUGUUGUUAUUAGAUGAUAAAAUAUGAAUAGUACAUUGUGACUAGUUUAUUUAAUUUUUAUAAAUCUUUCAAAUAAGACGAACAGUUAAAUGUUGGACACGGAACUCGCAGUUGCACUUAUU
rnacentral:pre_miRNA from 1 species